rnacentral:rRNA from 1 species
GACGAACGCUGGCGGCGUGCUUAACACAUGCAAGUCGAGCGGUAAGGCCCUUUCGGGGGUACACGAGCGGCGAACGGGUGAGUAACACGUGGGUGACCUGCCCUCAGCUCUGGGAUAAGCCUGGAAAACCGGGUCUAAUACUGGAUAUGACUCCAUGACGCAUGUUGUGGGGUGGAAAGCCUUGUGCGGCUGAGGAUGGGCCCGCGGCCUAUCAGCUUGUUGGUGGGGUGANGGCCUACCAAGGCGACGACGGGUAGCCGGCCUGAGAGGGCGACCGGCCACACUGGGACUGAGACACGGCCCAGACUCCUACGGGAGGCAGCAGUGGGGAAUCUUGCGCAAUGGGCGAAAGCCUGACGCAGCGACGCCGCGUGAGGGAUGACGGCCU